rnacentral:rRNA from 1 species
UACGUAGGUGGCAAGCGUUUGUCCGGAAUUAUUGGGCGUAAAGAGCUUGUAGGCGGUUUGUCGCGUCUGCUGUGAAAUCUCAAGGCUCAACCUUGAGCUUGCAGUGGGUACGGGCAGACUAGAGUGUGGUAGGGGAGACUGGAAUUCCUGGUGUAGCGGUGAAAUGCGCAGAUAUCAGGAGGAACACCGAUGGCGAAGGCAGGUCUCUGGGCCAUUACUGACACUGAGAAGCGAAAGCAUGGGGGAGCGAACAGG